GACGAACGCUGGCGGCGUGCUUAACACAUGCAAGUCGAACGAAGUGGCGAACGGGUGAGAAAUACGCGGGUAUCCUGCCCUCCUUUUUGGGAGAAGACUUGGAAACGGGGUCUAAUAUCGAAUAAAGGGGGAUGGGCUCGCGGCUUAUCAGCUUGUUGGUGGGGUGAUGGCCUACCAAGGCGGUGACGGGGAGCCGGCCUGAGAGGGGGACCGGCCACACUGGGACUGAGAUACGGCCCAGACUCCUACGGGAGGCAGCAGUGGGGGAUAUUGCACAAUGGGCGAAAGUCUGAUGCAGCGACGCCGCGUGGGGGAUGAAGGCUUUCGGGUUGUAAACUUCUUUCGCUAGCGAAAGGGUAGUGGGAGAAGAAGCGCCGGCUAACUACGUGCCAGCAGCCGCGGUAAUAC
rnacentral:rRNA from 1 species